CCUACGGCGAUGCAGCAGUGGGGAAUAUUGGACAAUGGGCGAAAGCCUGAUCCAGCCAUGCCGCGUGUGUGAAGAAGGCCUUCGGGUUGUAAAGCACUUUCAGUGGGGAAGAAAGCCUUGGGGCUAAUACCCUCGAGGAAGGACAUCACCCACAGAAGAAGCACCGGCUAACUCCGUGCCAGCAGCCGCGGUAAUACGGAGGGUGCGAGCGUUAAUCGGAAUUACUGGGCGUAAAGCGCGCGUAGGCGGUCUGAUAAGCCGGUUGUGAAAGCCCCGGGCUCAACCUGGGAACGGCAUCCGGAACUGUCAGGCUAGAGUGCAGGAGAGGAAGGUAGAAUUCCCGGUGUAGCGGUGAAAUGCGUAGAGAUCGGGAGGAAUACCAGUGGCGAAGGCGGCCUUCUGGACUGACACUGACGCUGAGGUGCGAAAGCGUGGGUAGCAAACAGGAUUAGAUACCCGAGUAGUC
rnacentral:rRNA from 1 species